GAGAUAUGUUUUACUCAUUGGACCUGAGAUUUUCAGCAAAUGUAACUAGAAAUCAUGAAAUUAGCUAUUUAGAGCAAGAAAGGAAGCCAUCAGAUUUAACCACCUUAUUUUGCAGAUGAGGAAACUGAGCUCCAGUUUGAGUAUUUUUCUAGUGAGAUUUUUCUCUCUAUCCUCCCCUAUUGUAAUUUAAGUGGAAAACUCCAACAUUUUAAAACAAUGCAAAUCUAGGACAUUAUUUUUCUCCAUUUCAAAAAAGUUAGUGAUUUCUAUUUUAGUGUGAUAUAUUUCAUUUCUCAUUUGAAGUCAUGCAUACUUCAUAUUCAGUGCACUCACUUUCAAGUUGCUUGUAAGUUAUCUGGCACUUAUUUUGACAAUGGGAAUAUGUGAGUCAUAAAUAUAUAAUAUUUCAUGAUACAGUUAUAGUGUUGAUAACUCAAUAUAUGAAUGCAAUUGUAACCUUGUCACAGAGUUCUGAAAGAAUGGACAAGAAGUGGAAUAACAGCACCAUCAAAACCCCCUUACCUCAAGAAAUCAUUAUACGUGGAAGUAAUGAAAAAUUACAUAUAUUCAACCGAAAGACUGAAUGUAAUACAUUAUUUACAUUCAUAAAAAUAUUGAAUUGUGCUUCUUGGGAAGUAGGGAAUGGAUUUGGCCUCAGAUUUAAGUGCUAGCAAAGGUCAGUAACUUGUGGCAUUAAUAAUAUUAGUUGAGGAUAACCUAGGGAAAUGGUGGUGGGGUUGCUGGUCAGUUCCUAUCUCAUAUACCCCAUUCUUUUUAUUUUCUUCCCCUUCAUUCCUUGAUUUCAUUAAAUUCAAGUCAAUAGGUAUUUAUUAAGCACCUUACAUAUGCCAGGCAUUGUGCUAAGCACUCGGGAAGUACAUUCAAAAAUGGAAUGGAAAAAUCCUGCCCUCAAGGAGCUUACAUUUAUCUACUUCUUUCUGGCAGAGAAGUUUAUGGAUAGUAUUCAGUGACAUGCAAUGUAAAAGAAGUUCAUAUUAAUGCAUAUUUCCUGUUAUAAUGUUGCUAGGGAUUAAAAAAAAAGUUAGAAAAAAGCAGGGGAGGGAUCUGGAGCUCUAAAUGAGGCAUUGUAAUUUGAUUGUACUCUGUGCAAUACAAAAUAUUAUGUAGCUAGCAUUCAGUUCCAUGAUUUCAUAACACAUGAUUCCUUGAAAUAAGGUUGAUUUGGCCAAGGUUUAUGGUAAUAGUUUUACUUUUUAUAGAGCUAACUGGAAAUCACCUUUUGAGUCUUCCAGAGAGAAAAAGAGAGUGAGUGAGAGAGAGAGAGAGAGAGAGAGAGAGAGUAUGUGUGUGUAUGUGUGUGUGUGUAAAAAUUAGAACCCAUUACAACAUCAUUAUUUGAAAAUAUCUCAUUUGUUCUCACUUGACAAAUGCACCACUUGUUUAUCGCUCCCAAGGAGACUAUUACAGUGCAUUUUUAUGUGUGAAAAUUUUUCUGCUU
rnacentral:lncRNA from 1 species